AACGUAGGAGGCAAGCGUUAUCCGGAGUUACUGGGCGUAAAGCGCGCGCAGGCGGUUGGAUAAGUGGAUUGUCAAAGGACCAGGCUAAACCUGGGGGAGGCAGUUCAGACUGUCGAGCUAGAGCCAUCUAGAGGGACGCGGAAUUCGGGGUGUAGCGGUGAAAUGUGUAGAGAUCCCGAGGAACACCAGCGGUGAAGACGGCGUCCUGGGGGUGAGCUGACGCUGAGGCGCGAAGGCGUGGGGAGCGAACAGG
rnacentral:rRNA from 1 species